AAGUCGUAACAAGGUUUCCGUAGGUGAACCUGCGGAAGGAUCAUUAAUGAAUUUCACCACAUAUGGAGAAUUUCAAAAAAAAAAAAUUUCCAUAUCCACCUUGUGUGCACCGAAAACAAAAUAUUAUGUGAAAGUCCUUUUGGUCGUUGCAUAAAGAUUUAUCUUAUCAUGACCAAAAGGCAACUUUCUCAUUCUUGUUUUUUUAACGCGUCUGCAAACCAAAAAAAAAGUCUGAAAAAUUUCAAUGAAAUGAAAAUUAUAAUAAUAUAAAAACAACUUUCAGCAACGGAUCUCUAGGCUCUU
rnacentral:misc_RNA from 1 species